rnacentral:rRNA from 1 species
GACGAACGCUGGCGGCGUGCUUAACACAUGCAAGUCGAGCGGAAAGGCCCUUUCGGGGGUACUCGAGCGGCGAACGGGUGAGUAACACGUGAGUAAUCUGCCCUGGACUCUGGGAUAGCCACCGGAAACGGUGAUUAAUACCGGAUACAACCACUAUCCGCAUGGGUUGGUGGUGGAAAGUUUUUUCGGUCCAGGAUGUGCUCGCGGCCUAUCAGCUUGUUGGUGAGGUAAUGGCUCACCAAGGCUUUGACGGGUAGCCGGCCUGAGAGGGUGACCGGUCACACUGGGACUGAGGCACGGCCCAGACUCCUACGGGAGGCAGCAGUGGGGAAUAUUGGACAAUGGGCGGAAGCCUGAUCCAGCAACGCCGCGUGAGGGAUGACGGCCUUCGGGUUGUAAACCUCUUUCAGUACCGACGAAGCGCAAGUGACGGUAGGUACAGAAGAAGGACCGGCCAACUACGUGCCAGCCGCCGCGGUAACAC